UGUUGCUUUUUAUUUCAGUGAGACAAAACUAAUACUCUGAAUGAGAAAAGAAUGAGGAUGGCAUUUCUCAAAUGUCACUCUUGAACCUCAGAUUAAAAAGAGAGAUUCAUCACAGAAAAGAUUAAGAGAAAAGAAAGAAAGAACAUUUAUGGAAUAGCUAAUGUGUGCUAAGGAUUCUACUAGGUGCUUUCAUAGAGUGUCUGGCACACAACAUGGUUCUGACAAAGUCCUCUCGGAUAUCCAGGGUGAAUGAGCAUUCUCCGAAAGAGAAGCACAGAUCACUGUGGGCCCAGCUCUAUGCCAGGCAUCAGAGAAGGUGGAAACCACUGCUACCUAAGCUUGCAGGACACUGGAGGGAGGAGAGUUUGUGAAGGUGGUUUGCUAGUGCAGGUCUGCAGUAGCCAUCCGGAAGGUGGGGAGAGGGAUCUGCCUGCCUAGCUUUGGUCAUGCUGUUGCCUCUUCUUAGAUUCCUCUCUCCAUCCUUUUCUGCCUCUUCAGUCCUUAUCUGUCUGUCAGAGUCUAGCUCAUUCCUACCUCCUCCAGGAAGCCUUAUCUGCUCACCUCAGGUCAAAAUUAUUUCUUCUUUUCCUGGCCAUUUACGGCAUUUGUUUGACCACACAAUCUAUCCCGUAAUACUGGUAUUUCCUAAUAAAAGCUAUCAUUUUGUUGAA